rnacentral:rRNA from 1 species
GUCCCUACGGGAGGCAGCAGUGGGGGAUAUUGGACAAUGGGGGAAACCCUGAUCCAGCGACGCCGCGUGAGUGAAGAAGUAUUUCGGUAUGUAAAGCUCUGUCAGCAGGGAAGAAGAUGACGGUACCUGACCAAGAAGCCCCGGCUAACUACGUGCCAGCAGCCGCGGUAAUACGUAGGGGGCAAGCGUUAUCCGGAUUUACUGGGUGUAAAGGGGGCGCAGACGGCAAUGCAAGCCAGGAGUGAAAGCCCGGGGCCCAACCCCGGGACUGCUCUUGGAACUGCAUGGCUGGAGUACAGGAGGGG